AGAACGAACGCUGGCGGCAUGCCUAAUACAUGCAAGUCGAACGAACUCUUCGGAGUUAGUGGCGCACGGGUGCGUAACGCGUGGGAAUCUGCCCCUUGGUUCGGAAUAACAGUUGGAAACGACUGCUAAUACCGGAUAUGACUUCAGGUUGCAUGACUUGGGGUGGAAAGAUUUAUCGGUGCAGGAUGGGCCCGCGGCCUAUCAGCUUGUUGGUGGGGUAAUGGCCUACCAAGGCGACGACGGGUAGCCGACCUGAGAGGGUGACCGGCCACACUGGGACUGAGACACGGCCCAGACUCCUACGGGAGGCAGCAGUGGGAAUAUUGCACAAUGGGCGAAAGCCUGAUGCAGCGACGCCGCGUGAGGGAUGACGGCCUUCGGUUGUAAACCUCUUCAGCAGGACGAAGCGCAAGUGACGGUACCUGCAGAAGAAGCACCGCUAACUACGUGCAGCAGCCGC
rnacentral:rRNA from 1 species